GCAAUGGUGGUUCAGGGGCAGGAUUCUUGCCUUCAAAGUGGAAGACCCAGGUUCGAUUUCUGGCCAGUGUG
rnacentral:tRNA from 1 species